AUGCUCCUCGCUGUUGCUCCGCCUUGCUUCAUCCAAUGCCCCAAGCGUUUCGCCUUUGCUCACCUUGCCACUCCAACUCACAACCCAACCCCUAUCAUCCGUCGUGCCAUCCAAACCCUCNNNNNNNNNNNNNNNNNNNNNNNNNNNNNNNNNNNNNGUGGUGUCACCUGCCUAACCUUCUCCUCCCCUGAGGCGCGCGAGAGCGUCCUCUGCCGUGGGCCUCUGGCGUUCGAGGGCAACACUGUGACCCCCGAACCGGUCGAGCUCGCCGAUCGCUCAAUCGCUGUCUUCUCCGAACUCGUCGAGGUCGAGGUGUCCGAGUUCCCCCAUGAACUUUGGCAUGACGAGGGCAUUUGCUCCGUCCUAAGGUACCUCGGCGAUGUCAUCGCCAUCGACCACUUCUGCCUCGAUGGCGUCGACUACACCUCCGUCCGCGCGCUUGUGCUCGCCCAGGCCGGCAAGCCUUCUCCGGACGGCGUCAUCGUCCAGCUUCCUCCCAUAAAUGAAAUCAAGAUCGCCAAAGUCGCUGAACUGACUCGGUGGGCGCACGGUGUUGACUCAAACCCCUUUGGGUCCUCUGACGGCACGGGGGGCUCGGUCGAGUCGCUCCCGGGGGAGCCACAUGCAGCCUCGCUGCUGGUGCACCUCGGCGUGGAACCAGUCCAUGCACCGGCCCUCGGGGCCACUCCGCUGGCUCCAAUCGUCGCACCCUUCACCUCUGCCUCAGCGGGGCCGGGGCUGCUGGAUGGGCCUGCAUGCGUCAACAUGCUCCCGUCCCAACCUACUACUGACGCCUGCAUCACCAUCUCGCCCUCGCCAAACUCCGCUUUCACUGCUUACGACCCACCUGCCAUUCCAUCCUUGCUAGCUGGUGGGUUCACCUUUGCUGCUAAGGCCUCGUCCUCUGUUCAGGCCAUGCCGGUCUCUGACCUGGAGCCACACGAGUGUGCGAUCCGUCACCAGCACCGCAAGGCCUCUCGCGACCACUCCUUCUCUCGCGACAAAGUGCGCCGCAGCGCCCGCCUCGCCGACAAGGAGCCAAAGUCCUACACCAACAUGACUCUGAAGGCCGUCAAGGCCAAGGCGGCUCCUCUCAACGGUGCGGACGAUGCUCUGGCUCUCGAUGAGGCUAUUGCUGCCACCCGUCUGGAUGACAAUGGCGCUCCUCCUGCCUCUGCUGACGACCUGGCGGCCAUCGCCCUCCUUUGUGGCGCAGAUGAUGCUCAGGCCAAGGAGAUCCUCGACUCGGCCUCCGACUCAGGUGUGGAUGGCGCCCCAUGA
rnacentral:rRNA from 1 species